rnacentral:lncRNA from 1 species
AGCUCCUAGACACACAGGAGAGACAGAUGAUCUGCGUGCAUUCUUAUAGCAGCUGGAGCAAGGGUCCUCCCUAUGAUCUUAGUGUAGGGAGGCCCAGCUAUACCUCAGGAAAGCUAUAAGGUCAUAGCUGUAAGCCUCAGGCAUGGGAUGGGGGACAUUGGUGGGCAAAGAAAUAUAUCAUUCAGAAUUAUAAUGACUGAAACAUUUGUUGAACACAUACUAUGAAUACUGAGGACAAAUAAGGCCUUGUACAAGUGAGAAAACUGAGGCUCAAGGAGGUUAAGUUCACAGAACCCAGUCCACUGUGAGACUCCACUGACCCCUGUUUUUUAUUUUUUGUUCCAUGCCUUUCCCUAUAGGCUUCUCAGAAAGCCUCAGGGCCUUGUUUCUGCAAGGCCUGGCUGUGGAGUCUUGGCAUAGAGGCCUACCCUGCUUCAUGCCUUUCUGGCCUCCCUUAUGAUACUGUAGAACCAGUGAGCUGCCCUGUGCUAGCCAGCCCAGCUUCUCAAGAGCAUGGCCAGCUUGAAGACCAGGGCCUGGGGACCUGACCCAGGGGAGUACUGUGUCCUCACCCUGCCUACCUUUCAGGACAGUGGAAUGGCCUUAAUGAUCCUCUUCUGAAGGGCCUGGCUUGGGCAAGACUGCUCCCUGGAUACCUGGUGCUGUCAAGGCAGCCGUGUUUCCAUGUCUGUCAAGUGGGCUAUGGACACUUCCACGGACUGCUGUGCUAGCUGCAACCACCAUCCCCUUCCCUGGAAGACUCUGGGAUGAAGCCAAACAGGGCAGGAAAGCCCCAGAACAGUAGACACGAUCAUCCCUGCACACACUCACUCAUGCAGUGGAAAUUCACAUAGCCAGACAGUGAGUAUUCCUCCCACUGCCGAUUUCUCUGGCCUAAAUUUAAUUUUUCUUUUUUGUGGUGCUAGUGAUUGAACCCAGGGCUUCGAACAAGCUAGACAAGCAUUCUGUCACUGAUCUGUGUCUCCAGCCAUUUUUUUUUUUUUUUUUGGUACCAGGGAUCAAACUCGGGUCCUUGUGCUUUCGAGGCAGGCGGUGGAACCACUGAGCUAAAUCCCUGGCCCCUCUCUAACCCUUUUUUAAAUUUUUGAGAUAAGGUCUCACUAAAUUGCCCAGACUGGGCUUGAAAUUGUGAUCCUCCUGCCUCAACCUUGCAGAGUCCUAGGUUUAUAGGCAUAUGUCACCACACUCAGCCCAAGGGUUAGUUUUAAUCAGCAGUUUCUUCUCCAUCCUUCCAGAGGUGAUCUCUGUAGACUCAUUUUCUAUUCUAUGGUGCCCCAACUCACCAUGCUCCCAAGAGAAUCCAGGUACAGCUCUGAGCAGCCCUGCAUUCUUGCCUUUACCACACCUCACCAGAGCUGAGAAACUAAGCCCUUACAGAGAAACUUACCACUUACAGACAGAAAUGUAGAGGCUUAGAGGGGCUCAGCAACCUUAGACAUCCUGGCAUUAGGGUCCAUUUCCUCCCGUUGCCUGGUUGUUCUGGACCCGGGGUGAAGAUGCAAGGGAAACACACUCUUGUCUGUAAUUUUGCAGAUUACAAACUGAGGCAGGGUCCUUCCUGGGUCUCUCCCUUAGCAAGGAGGGAGUUGACCAAGUUAUAACAAAGGCUUAAGGGCACGACAUCACCAGCUUGGAGCCAGGCAAGAGCUGCAGUUGCCACUUAAAGUCAGGCUCCAGGAUCCCUGCUUGGGGCCAGAAGCCCCAAGGACAGCAUGCCCAAUGCCACCCAUCCAGGGAGGGAAGAAGCAUGUGGGGACCCAAGCUGAGUUGGAGAGGUCACUUGAGUGGUUGAGCCUCCCAGAGAUACCCACAAGCCUAGGGACCCCAGUCUAUGGGGCUCCCUGGAGUCAGGGAACAAAAGAUGUGUGAAGGCAGCGGAUACCUCAGCAGGUAUGUGGCCAGGGCCCUAGGCCUCCUGUCAGAUGAGUCGGGGAGGGAAUAGUGCUCUGUCUUCUCCAUGUCCCCUUCAAGAAGCAGGCAGAAGCAGCCACCAGAGCUCUAGGAAGGGCUGUGACUGCCCAUAGAGGCAUUGGCAGGACUUGGGCCUGGUGUCCCAGUCUUGUGCUUUCCUAAGCUACCUUGAUUCCUUUUGGAAGGAGAGGAAGAAGAGGUAUUGUUAUCACUCAUUCCUAGGUACUUGGAGCUGAGCAACUUUGGAUGAGGAGAGGUAGCUGUCCUGGGAGGCCAACCUGUGUGUACAUGUCUGGUUGUAGUGUGUUCCUGGGGCCUAUGAUUUGUGGUGUAGUUAGGCCUGCGAUCUGGAUCUAUGUGUUUACAUACUGGGGUUUGGGUGCAUGCUCUAGUCUGGGGCAGGUCAGAGGACCCCCUUGGCUCCAGCCUGCCCCCCACCUGCUGUGGCUGGACUCUGUCCUGGGAAGGUGUCAGAAGCCUUGGGUUCCUUGGUCACCACAGUUCUGUGACCUCUGUAUGGGCCACACAGGGAUGGGAUG